rnacentral:lncRNA from 1 species
GCAAGUACGGCAUUCGACCACCGCACGUCCUACGGUGAGGUUACAGAUUUCUGUUCGCGAUGUGCACGGCCAUAUUGAUAUCUCAUUUUGAAUUUGAAAAUUUUAGUUUUUUGUACACACAGUAAAAAGACAAUAAUGUGCAUUUUUUCUUAAUUAUGCUAAAUAAGGCCAUGCAAUGAAUAAAUUCGGUUACUAAACGGGUCUAAAAGUGCAAUAAUUGUAGUGAAAUGACAAUAAUUGGUGGCUUUCCUUAUUCAUAUGUGAUUUUCUAAAAGGAACAUCUCUUUGGCAUUUCUGCGGUCCUGUCCUAAAUACUGUCUCCUGACAGCAGCACACUCGGAGGCAAACGGGUAAAACUACUUAACAUUCUACAAACCAGUCCUGCUGAGCCCUGGAAUUGGAAUAAACUCAGGAGAGAAUCAGAGGUGAUCACGAAUCUUGCGCUGCGCCAUUAUUGUAUAUGAGAUGAAUAAACAGGUAAUUCUGAUCUUUAAGUAUUUGACUACACAAUUCUGUUGAUGGUACCGAGCGGCUUCUGGGAGGAUUGUGGGAGCCACCGGAAAAACACUUCACGAAUAACAAUAAAGGGCCCCUUGUUCUCGGAAAUGUGAUCAGCAGCCUCGAAGACAACAAAAUUCCAGCAUAUUCUCUAUAGCCUAUAGCAGUUUAACAAGGCUAUUAAAAGGUUAAACCAGUCAAAAUCAUUUUGGGACCAAGUACCAAGUGCAAAUAUUAUCUAAUCUCUAACCGAUUAUUCAGUAAAUUAAAUAGGUAGCUUUAGUUGUUAUUCUUAUAUUAUUUGUAAAUCUUUUCUAUUGCCAAUUGUUAUUUUUUAUAUGUACGUAUAUGUUAAAUAAAUAAGUGUAUAAGUAUA